rnacentral:tRNA from 2 species
CGGGGCGUAGCUCAGCCUGGUAGAGUGCCUGCUUUGGGAGCAGGAUGUCGGAGGUUCGAAUCCUCUCGCCCCGACCA